rnacentral:piRNA from 1 species
UUGCCCAGACAGAGUAUAUGAUUGCCC